rnacentral:rRNA from 1 species
UAACAAGGAUUCCCCUAGUAACGGCGAGCGAAGCGGGAAGAGCUCAAAUUUGAAAUCUGGUGGCCUCAGGUCAUCCGAGUUGUAAUCUAUAGAAGUGUUUUCCGUGCUGGCCCAUGUACAAGUCCCUUGGAACAGGGCGUCAUAGAGGGUGAGAAUCCCGUCCUUGACAUGGACUACCAGUGCUCUGUGAUACACUUUCAACGAGUCGAGUUGUUUGGGAAUGCAGCUCAAAAUGGGUGGUAAAUUCCAUCUAAAGCUAAAUAUUGGCGAGAGACCGAUAGCGAACAAGUACCGUGAGGGAAAGAUGAAAAGCACUUUGGAAAGAGAGUUAAACAGUAUGUGAAAUUGUUGAAAGGGAAACGAUUGAAGUCAGUCGUGCUCAAUGGACUCAGCCGUUCUGCGGUGUAUUUCCAUUGGGUGGGGUCAACAUCAGUUUUGAUCGCUGGAUAAAGGCAGGAGGAAUGUAGCACCCCCGGGUGAACUUAUAGCCUCUUGUCACAUACAGUGGUUGGGACUGAGGAACGCAGCAUGCCUUUAUGGCCGGGAUUCGUCCAC